rnacentral:rRNA from 1 species
CCCAACCCUCUCCACCCCAUCUGGGUCCGGGAGGAUCAACAAGUGCUCGGGUACCUGCUCAACAAUCUCUCCAAAGAGGUGUUGGUGCAGGUGACCGCGAUCACCACGACGCACGCGCUCUGGACAACCCUGGCGGCCAUGUUCUCCUCGCAGUCGCUUAGCCGCAUCAACAACAUUCGCACGGCUUUGCUUCAUGCG